GCACAGAUAGGUCGCGCGAAUAGGCAGUCGAGCGGUAAGGCACCUUCGGGGUACACGAGCGGCGAACGGGUGAGUAACACGUGAGCAACCUGCCCCUGACUCUGGGAUAAGCGGUGGAAACGCCGUCUAAUACCGGAUACGACCCGCCACCUCAUGGUGGAGGGUGGAAAGUUUUUCGGUCAGGGAUGGGCUCGCGGCCUAUCAGCUUGUUGGUGGGGUAACGGCCUACCAAGGCGAUUACGGGUAGCCGGCCUGAGAGGGCGACCGGCCACACUGGGACUGAGACACGGCCCAGACUCCUGCGGGAGGCAGCAGUGGGGAAUAUUGCGCAAUGGGCGAAAGCCUGACGCAGCGACGCCGCGUGGGGGAUGACGGCCUUCGGGUUGUAAACCUCUUUUACCACCAACGCAGGCUUCCAGUUCUCUGGAGGUUGACGGUAGGUGGGGAAUAAGGACCGGCUAACUACGUGCCAGCAGCCGCGGUAAUACGUAGGGUCCGAGCGUUGUCCGGAAUUAUUGGGCGUAAAGAGCUCGUAGGCGGCGUGUCGCGUCUGCUGUGAAAGACCGGGGCUUAACUCCGGUUCUGCAGUGGAUACGGGCAUGCUAGAGGUAGGUAGGGGAGACUGGAAUUCCUGGUGUAGCGGUGAAAUGCGCAGAUAUCAGGAGGAACACCGGUGGCGAAGGCGGGUCUCUGGGCCUUACCUGACGCUGAGGAGCGAAAGCAUGGGGAGCGAACAGGAUUAGAUACCCUGGUAGUCCAUGCCGUAAACGUUGGGCGCUAGGUGUGGGGACUUUCCACGGUUUCCGCGCCGUAGCUAACGCAUUAAGCGCCCCGCCUGGGGAGUACGGCCGCAAGGCUAAAACUCAAAGGAAUUGACGGGGGCCCGCACAAGCGGCGGAGCAUGUUGCUUAAUUCGACGCAACGCGAAGAACCUUACCAAGGUUUGACAUCACCCGUGGACUCGCAGAGAUGUGAGGUCAUUUAGUUGGCGGGUGACAGGUGGUGCAUGGCUGUCGUCAGCUCGUGUCGUGAGAUGUUGGAUUAAGUCCCGCAACGAGCGCAACCCUUGUUCCAUGUUACAGCACGUAAUGCUGGGGACUCAUGGGAGACUGCGGGAUCACUCGGAGAAAGGUGGGGAAUGACGUCGAGGUCAUCAUGCCCCUUAUGUCUUGGGGCUGCCAAAACAAUGCCUA
rnacentral:rRNA from 1 species